CCCUGCGAAUCAAUUUUCCCGAAACAUUACAUCAUCAGGACAAAAGCUGAGCGAUUGCGAGGGUCGUCAGGGUUUUACCUGACGUCGAUAACGGGGAUAUUGGGGUGGCGCCGGAGGGACAAAAGCUGAGCUCCGGUGAUGAAGGAGACGCCAUUGCGAGCCAUCUCCGAGCGAUUGGAAGAUUUGAAGCAGUUUUCGAGGAGAGGAGAGGUUACCCACCAAAAGCACCACAAAUUAUGGAGCGAAUUCAUUGUGUGUUCAAUGAGUUCCGAGCCCUGCCUGAAGAUUUGCCAUCUACCUUGUUAAGUUAAGACCACAAAGGGAAGGGGAAAAAUCAAAGAUUGAAUUGUGAUGCUGUGGCGACCUGUGAUGUGAAGCUGGGGAUUGUGUAGCCUAGUGGCUCGAAAUUCAAAUGGGAAGUUGGUCGGGCCUGUAGCAAGAAGAUGCCUCACCUGCUAAUUUUGUCCUUCCAACUGCAGAAGCUUGCUGUUUAAGUAAGGUUGCCUGCUCCCUAAGCAAAAGAAUUGGAGGCUCGUCGUCAUAGAAUUUUCACUUGGGAGCUAUCGUGAGUCUCCGCUAUAGUAUUGCGGAACUUUUCACUUGGGAUGGAUUAAGAUGCUGAUGAAAGAUCUUUCUGGAGAUAAAAGUUAGUUUAAUCGGGGGGGAAACAAAUCCUCACGCUGACCGAAUUGCAGCAUCUCGUUACUGUGUUUCCCGUAUAGUGACCAUAGAGGAGUGAAUUGUCCUGACUGAUGAGUGUGUUGAGUUUCAUUCUUUUGUAAACAACUACAGUGCAUUCGAUAUUGGAUCA